UUAGGGAGAUCUACUUCAGGACAUCGUGCGAUGAUAAUAAUAGCCGAGUCUUGAGGUCAUCCUUAGGUCGGAUGGGGCGGUCAGAGAGCUUUCAAACUUUAGGGUUCGUGUUAUGGGCUAUUAGCUCAGGUGGUUAGAGCGCACCCCUGAUAAGGGUGAGGUCCCUGGUUCAAGUCCAGGAUGGCCCACAUCCACCCCAAACUGGGGGUAUAGCUCAGUUGGUAGAGCGCUGCCUUUGCACGGCAGAAGUCAGCGGUUCGAGUCCGCUUACCUCCACUCUCCUAGAAUUAGGUGCUAGUUGGGGUGAGGUAGUCUUGAAUUGAGAAAUUGAGAGUUGGUG
rnacentral:tRNA from 1 species